rnacentral:rRNA from 1 species
GAGUAACACGUAAGCAACCUACCCUAAAGACGAGGAUAACCAUUGGAAACAGUGGCUAAGACUGGAUAGGAAGAUAAAAGGCAUCUUUUAUCUUUUAAAAGACCUAGUAAUAGGUAUGCUUUAGGAGGGGCUUGCGCCAUAUUAGUUAGUUGGUAGGGUAAUGGCCUACCAAGACGAUGAUGUGUAGCUGGACUGAGAGGUUGAACAGCCACAUUGGGACUGAGACACGGCCCAAACUCCUACGGGAGGCAGCAGUAGGGAAUUUUCGGCAAUGGAGGAAACUCUGACCGAGCAACGCCGCGUGAAUGACGAAGUACUUCGGUAUGUAAAGUUCUUUUAUCAAGGAAGAAAAGCAAAUGGCGAACCAUUUGUUUGCCGGUACUUGAUGAAUAAGCCCCGGCUAAUUAUGUGCCAGCAGCCGCGGUAAGACAUAAGGGGCAAGUGUUAUCCGGAAUUAUUGGGCGUAAAGGGUGCGUAGGCGGUCUAGUAAGUCAGUGGUGUAAUGGCAACGCUUAACGUUGUCCGGCUAUUGAAACUGCUAAACUUGAGUUAGAUAGAGGCGAGUGGAAUUCCAUGUGUAGCGGUAAAAUGCGUAAAUAUAUGGAGGAACACCAGAGGCGUAGGCGGCUCGCUGGGUCUUAACUGACGCUGAGGCACGAAAGCGUGGGGAGCAAACAGGAUUAGAUACCCUGGUAGUCCACGCCGUAAACGAUGAGUACUAAGUGUCGGGUUAAACCGGUACUGAAGUUAACACAUUAAGUACUCCGCCUGAGUAGUACGUACGCAAGUAUGAAACUUAAAGGAAUUGACGGGACUCCGCACAAGCGGUGGAUCAUGUUGUUUAAUUCGAAGAUACCCGAAAAACCUUACCAGGUCUUGACAUGUUUUUGCAAAAUGAUAGUAAUAUCGUGGAGGUUACCAGAAACACAGGUGGUGCAUGGUUGUCGUCAGCUCGUGUCGUGAGAUGUUAGGUUAAGUCCUAAAACGAGCGAAACCCUUAUCGUUAGUUGCCAGCACGUUAUGGUGGGGACUUUAACGAGACUGCCAAUGAUAAAUUGGAGGAAGGUGAGGAUCACGUCAAAUCAGCAUGCCCCUUAUGACCUGGGCUACAAACGUGAUACAAUGGCUGUUACAAAGGGUAGCUGAAACGCAAGUUCUUGGCCAAUCCCCAAAAACAGUCCCAGUCCGGAUUGAAGUCUGCAACUCGACUUCAUGAAGUUGGAAUCGCUAGUAAUCGCGAAUCAGCAUGUCGCGGUGAAUACGUUCUCGGGGUUUGUACACACCGCCCGUCAAACCACGAAAGUUGGCAAUACCCCAAAACGGUAGCCUAACUCGUUUUAC